GCCAGGCACGGUGGCACACGCCUGUAAUCCCAGUGACUCAGGAGGCUGAGGUAGGAGGAUCAUGAGUUCAAAGCCAGCCUCAGCAACUUAGCGAGACACUUGGAGCUCAAUGAGACCCUGCCUCUC
rnacentral:sRNA from 1 species